rnacentral:rRNA from 1 species
AGUGAACGCUGGCGGUAGGCCUAACACAUGCAAGUCGAACGGCAGCACAGUAAGAGCUUGCUCUUACGGGUGGCGAGUGGCGGACGGGUGAGGAAUACAUCGGAAUCUACUUUUUCGUGGGGGAUAACGUAGGGAAACUUACGCUAAUACCGCAUACGACCUACGGGUGAAAGCAGGGGAUCUUCGGACCUUGCGCGAUUGAAUGAGCCGAUGUCGGAUUAGCUAGUUGGCGGGGUAAAGGCCCACCAAGGCGACGAUCCGUAGCUGGUCUGAGAGGAUGAUCAGCCACACUGGAACUGAGACACGGUCCAGACUCCUACGGGAGGCAGCAGUGGGGAAUAUUGGGCAAUGGGCGCAAGCCUGAUCCAGCCAUACCGCGUGGGUGAAGAAGGCCUUCGGGUUGUAAAGCCCUUUUGUUGGGAAAGAAAAGCAGCAGGUGAAUACCCCGCUGUUCUGACGGUACCCAAAGAAUAAGCACCGGCUAACUUCGUG